rnacentral:rRNA from 1 species
GACGAACGCUGGCGGCGUGCUUAACACAUGCAAGUCGAACGGAAAGGCCCUGCUUUUGUGGGGUGCUCGUGUGGCGAACGGGUGAGUAACACGUGAGUAACCUGCCCUUGACUUUGGGAUAACUUCAGGAAACUGGGGCUAAUACCGGAUAGGAGCUCCUGCUGCAUGGUGGGGGUUGGAAAGUUUCGGCGGUUGGGGAUGGACUCGCGGCUUAUCCGCUUGUUGGUGGGGUAGUGGCUGACCAAGGCUUUGACGGGUAGCCGGCCUGAGAGGGUAACCGGCGACAUUGGGACUGAGAGACGGCCCAGACGCCUACGGGAGGCAGCAGUGGGGAAUAUUGCGCAAUGGGCGGAAGCCUGAUGCAGCAACGCCGCGUGCGGGAUGACGGCCUUCGGGUUGUAAACCGCUUUCGCCUGUGACGAAGCGUGAGUGACGGUAAUGGGUAAAGAAGCACCGGCUAACUACGUG